rnacentral:rRNA from 1 species
GACGAACGCUGGCGGCGUGCUUAACACAUGCAAGUCGAGCGAUGAAGUUUCUUCGAAAAUGGAUUAGCGGCGGACGGGUGAGGAACACGUGAAGAAUCUGCCCUCCACUUUGGGAUACCACAGGGAAACCUGUGCUAAUACCGAAUAUUGAAACAUAAGUGGCAUCACUGAGUUUUGAAAGAAUUUCGGUGGAGGAUGACUUCACGGCCUAUCAGCUAGUUGGUGAGGUAAUGGCUCACCAAGGCAACGACGGGUAGCCGGCCUGAGAGGGCGACCGGCCACACUGGGACUGAGACACGGCCCAGACUCCUACGGGAGGCAGCAGUGGGGAAUAUUGGGCAAUGGAGGAAACUCUGACCCAGCGACGCCGCGUGCGGGAUGAAGGCCUUCGGGUUGUAAACCGCUUUCAGUAGGGAAGAAGCGAAAGUGACGGUACCUACAAAAGAAGCACCGGCUAACUAUGUGCCAGCCGCCGCGGUAACAC